rnacentral:rRNA from 1 species
AUUCUAUGGCUAAUACAUGCGCAAAUAUCUUUUUUCGCAAGAAAGAGGAUAGUGUUUAUUAGAUACAGAACCAAUACACCAUCUGUUAACAGCAGGUGGUGUAAAAAAGGUGAUUCAUAGUAACCGAACGGAUCGCAUUAUGGUCAUUUUAUAUGGCUGGCGAUAGAUCAUUCAAGUUUCUGACCUAUCAGCUUUCGACGGUAGUGUAUUGGACUACCGUGGCAGUGACGGGUAACGGGGAAUUAGGGUUCGAUUCCGGAGAGGGAGCCUGAGAAACGGCUACCACAUCUAAGGAAGGCAGCAGGCGCGCAAAUUACCCAAUCCUGACUCAGGGAGGUAGUGACAAGAAAUAACAACACUGGAAAUUUUAUUUCUAGUGAUUGGAAUGAUGGGAAUUUAAACCCCUUUCAGAGUAACAAUUGGAGGGCAAGUCUGGUGCCAGCAGCCGCGGUAAUUCCAGCUCCAAUAGCGUAUAUUAAAGUUGUUGCAGUUAAAAAGCUCGUAGUUGGAUGUCUGCUGGAAGCAAUCAGUCCGCCCUAUUUGUAGGGUGUGCACUUGAUGAAUUCUGGCAUCUAUGUCCCAAUAAUAUGAUGGUGUAUACCCUGUGUACACCCAUCUAUAUUGGGAUAAUACCGUUACUUUGAGAAAAUUAGAGUGUUUGAAGCAGGCUAAUUGCCUUGAAUACUGCAGCAUGGAAUAACAAUAUAGGAUUUCGGUUCUAUUUUGUUGGUUUCUAGGACUGAAAUAAUGAUUAAUAGGGACAGUUGGGGGCAUUCGUAUUUA